CGGGCUCACACAUAGCUACUGGGGAACUAAGCUCAAGUCAGUGCUCAACUUGGCCUCUGGGAGAACUGGUUGGCGCUGAGGGAUAUUUCAAUCAGUGUGAGACUUGGCAGACAGGCCUGUGAUAGAAUUACAAUCGGAGUACCAUCAGAGGAGGAUGGAUUACGUGAAAUCAACGCUGGAUUCUUGGAUGAAGGCGCCAUCGAGGGCUAGACCCCAUCUCCGCAGUAAAUUUGCUGCAUCCCUCUGGCCCCUCACUGCCUUCUUUAUGCCCAGUGAAGGCGCCUUAUAUGCCACAAAGGCAUAUCAAGCCUCAUUCAGCAGGAUGAGUGCUCCCUCCUGGGCCUCUUUAAGAAAUGACCUUCCUUUU